AGGAGCAGAGGUCUGGUGACCAUGCUCGGGUUGGAGGGGCUGGGAGGUCGAUGAGGAACCAAAAUGCGGGAUUGGAAUGCCGGACCGAGCGAGGAACUCUAGAAGCACAGACAUCUGACCCUUAAGCUCGGCCACCGUCGGUGUCAAAACAGUCACCUCAUUUGACUGCCACGAUGCACAGGGUCUAGGUUCCCGCCGCCGGGCGUUCCCCAUCCCUCG
rnacentral:lncRNA from 1 species